GGCAACCGGAGGCAGGGAAAACAGAACCUGUCAGAUGGAAAAUAGGAACUGCCAUUUAAAGCGGUGGGAAGGAGGACCAGACGGAGCAUUCACAUUAAUCAAAACAGUGCCCUCUCAGAAGGACGGCAGGAGAGGAA
rnacentral:lncRNA from 1 species